rnacentral:rRNA from 1 species
GACGAACGCUGGCGGCGUGCUUAACACAUGCAAGUCGAACGGAAAGGCCCGGCUGUUGUCGGCUGCCCGACUUGCUAACGGGUGAGUAACAAAUGCGUAAUCUACCUUUCCUUCUGGGGUAAAUUCAGGAAACUGAGGAUUAUACCGAAUGCGAACUCCUGCUGCAUGGUGUGGGUUGGAAAGGUACGGCGGUUGGGAAUGGACUCGCGGCAUUGCAGCUGGUUGGUGGGGUAGUGGCUUACCACGGAUUGGACGGGGAGCCGGCCUGAGAGGGUGACCGGCCACAUUGGGACUGAGAUACGGCCCAGACUGCUACGGGAGGCAGCGGUGGGGAAUAUUGCACAAUGGGCGGAAGCCUGAUGCAGCAACGCCGCGUGCGGGAUGACGGCCUUCGGGUUGUAAACCGCUUUCGCCUGUGACGAAGCGUGAGUGACGGUAAUGGGUAAAGAAGCACCGGCUAACUACGUG